GAUGAUUGAUUAGGGUUUUAGUGUCGUCGGACCAGGCUUCAUUCCCCCCCAAUUAUCACUCCCUCACAAUCCGAAUUAACGAAGAAGAUUUGUCCAUUUUCAACUUUUGAUCUAGGGUCUUCAAGAUCUUCUGAGUUUCAGGUGGGUUUGAUUUUUUUUUUAAACAGAUUGGUGUAAUGAUGAAGGAGUCUGACUCAUGACAAGUUAGCAUUCAGAGAGGCUAAAUCUAUUCCCGGUCAUGAUUAAUGAUUAGGGUUAUUUACUUUCAGAUCCGUUUGUUUCUAAAAAAUCAAACCAGAUCUGCUAGAUCUGAAGCUAGUAGAUCUGAGUCUUUCAAACUACUGCUAUAUUUAUGUUUCUUGUUAGUACAACUAUUAGCCUUAGGGUUUCGUCAUUACAUUACUUCAAAGAUUUAAUACUUUAU
rnacentral:precursor_RNA from 1 species